rnacentral:rRNA from 1 species
ACUCCUACGGGAGGCAGCAGUGAGGAAUAUUGGACAAUGGACGCAAGUCUGAUCCAGCCAUGCCGCGUGCAGGAAGACUGCCCUAUGGGUUGUAAACUGCUUUUAUUUGGGGAAUAAAAUCCCCCUCUACGUGUAGAGGGGCUUGAAACGGGUUACCAAAAGUGAAUAAGCACCGGCUAACUCCGUGCCAGCAGCCGCGGUAAUACGGAGGGUGCAAGCGUUAUCCGGAAUCAUUGGGUUUAAA